rnacentral:rRNA from 1 species
CCUACGGGAGGCAGCAGUGGGGAAUAUUGGGCAAUGGGCGCAAGCCUGACCCAGCAACGCCGCGUGAAGGAAGAAGGCUUUCGGGUUGUAAACUUCUUUUAAGAGGGAAGAGCAGAAGACGGUACCUCUUGAAUAAGCCACGGCUAACUACGUGCCAGCAGCCGCGGUAAUACGUAGGUGGCAAGCGUUGUCCGGAUUUACUGGUGGUAAAGGGCGGGCAGCCGGGAAGACAAGUCAGAUGGGAAAUCCCGCGGCUCAACCGCGGAACUGCAUUUGAAACUGUUUUUCUUGAGUACCGGAGAGGUCAUCGGAAUUCCUUGUGUAGCGGUGAAAUGCGUAGAUAUAAGGAAGAACACCAGUGGCGAAGGCGGAUGACUGGACGGCAACUGACGGUGAGGCGCGAAAGCGUGGGGAGCAAACAGGAUUAGAUACCCCGGUAGUC